CCAAGGGACAUUCAUUGUCAAAUAUGCAUUAGUGUCUUGUUUCUUCUGAUAAUUUAUAUUUGACAAAAUCCAAUGGCAUAUCUAUGGAAUGGCAUUAAAACUGAUUUCAGAUUUGUGAUUCAGAGAUGAGUGACAUAUCUAUGGAACGGCAUUAAAGCUGAUUUCAGAUUUGUGAUUCAGAGAUGAGUGAGCUCUAACAAGGUUGCUUAACAGGAUUCUCAACAGGUUGAAAUGUAAGAGUAGAAGAGCAAUUGUAUUGAAAUUCUUAAUGGGGCUCUUACACUUGUAUAUUUCAUUACAGGUGGGAAAACUGGAAAGAUUGAAUGUCCUUUGGAGUUCACAAAGGUUUGGCAGUGGGAUGAGAAAAACAAAACGAAGCAUAGUGGGAGUGUUGAACAGACUUUCCCAAGAUUCCCAGGAAAAGCAAAGCUACUACAAGAGCUCACUACAUCAAUGCGUGUUCAUUACACAGACCAUCCUAGGAGAGUGUGCAUCAUCACAGGCGGCUCUGAGGUCUGUGCCCAAUCAAGCAAAGAACAACAGUGAUAAUCACACUGUGCAGAGGGUGACCAAUUUAGAAAAAAAAGACUCUUAAGAAGAUCGUCCAACAUCCAAAGAUUAAUGACUUUGAUUAAUUUUACACCUUUUACCAAUUAAUUGCACUUAUGAGCCUUCCUUGUCAAUUACUGCAUUCUCACUUUCAGCAAUUUAACUAAUCUUGGCCUAUUCAUAUUUGUUUUUUAAAUAGGUAUUUCCAAUUAUUGAUAUGAAUCUUCAUAAUUAUAUUACAUAUGUUUCACCAUAUUUAUUCAUUCUUCAUUGAGAUGAAAUAAAGAUCUAUUAUUGACACUUAAAACA
rnacentral:lncRNA from 13 species